GUUAUUAUUAAAUAAGUGAUAAACCCUCGGUAAGCGUGAUGUUAUUUAAAAAACAGAAAGAAAGGGAAGGGUGCUGUUCAUCUUCUUCGUGAAGGCCGUCCGAGGACCUCCCUGUGCAGACGGUCAGUCGCGCCAACUCCCCUCAAAAUCGAACGUUAUCGGUCGCUGCCAUUCUCGCCGGGGAUCGUCCGUCUGACCAUCGUACCGCCGUUCGCGGAUCUGAAGUCAUUUGCAGCGUAGCCUCACCAGUCUCGUCAUUCGCCGCUGCAGGGACCGCCGCCCUCACCGUUUUUCGUCGCUCACCGCUCUGUCGGUCUCCGCAGUCAAGUUCUCCAACCGUGACUUUGUCGGAAGCUUGAGUUUUUGAUGCAAGUUUUGAGAGGAGUUGUCCUCGUUUUGAGAGGAGUUGAGGUGUUGUCCACUUGGUCUGGAACCAGUUUCGACAAGAUUUCAGGGAUCGAUGAGUCCAGUUUCAUGUUUGACAGGAAGCCUUCGGGCCGCUAGACAUGCAUGCUCGACAGGUUCAUGUUUAUGUUACUUUUUCAUGUUUGACUGUGUGACUUCAGGCCGCUAGACAUGUAUGAACUGACAGGUACACGAUCAUGUUUCUUUCUUGAUGAUUGACAGUGUACCAUUAGGCCACUAGACAUGCGAGCUAAUGCGAGUAAGGUUAUCCCCUUAGUUAGCCAUUUAGGAACAACUUUAUGUCUACAUGUUUUCAAGUAGGGACAAGGAUAUUCAGGCGACUGACAAGAGGAAUCCGUGAUAGUACCAAUGGAACUAGAAAAUGCUUCUGCUUAUGAGCUCAUAUGUGUUCUCAUAUUUUGUAGUUUCUUUUCAUGAACUUUUCUUGACCGAGACUAGGUGUUAGUAUUUUCUUUUUCAGUUAAUAUUUUCUUUUAUUUAUUUAUUUUUUUAAACUUAUGCUUUAAGGGGUACCCCGAUUCAAAUGGACUGGAAUCUUGAGUUGAGAAUUUGGAUAGAUUUAUUUAUUUAUUUAUUAUUUUAUUUUCUUUAAACAGUUCAAUUUUGUUUUUCAAUGUAAACAUUUAUGCAUGCAUGAGGUAACGACUCUAUUAGAUUUCUUUGACAGUCGGGCCGUUACAGUUAGUAUCAAUAAGUCAAGGUUGUUCCUAUGGCCCUUAAUGGAUUCUUUGUCAUCGCCAAGUACGUCCCUUAGGAAAGUAUUUAGGAUUUUAUGCACCAGAUUAUGUAGUACUUACGAUCGUAUUUGACAUGUUUUACUGGUAAGGAAAGUUGCUAAAGGUUGAUUGCGAAAAUUGCUAGGAAAUGGUACGUGUUAAAGGAAGAGGCAGCAAUAGGAUUACCAGAAGAGGACGCGUUCCUAAAGGGUAGAAUCCAACGGUUCAGGAUCAAAAUCAAGUUCAAGAUCAAGACCCACAUGGUGAGGAUCCCCAAAUUCAAGAUUCACAAGUUCUAGAUCCUUCAGUACUAGAGGAUCCCUUGCCGCCUAGAGACUCCUUAGAGUCAAGGUGACAGAGAACCUAGACACGGAGUCGAGCCUAACACACAGCUACCCUUUGCAGACAUAGGCACCCCCAGUCGCCCCAAUAGAGUUCACUGAUUGGUCCGCAGUUAUUAGGGAAGCAGUCACAAUAAUGGUGCUGAGUAAGGUGAAGGACAUGUUGGAUGAGCAAAUGACCCAGUUUGCCUAGUACCAACAGCUACCACUGCCGCAGUUUCAGAUGCCAUAAGUUUAGACUCAAAACGUAAUUCAAAACCAGAGUAUGUCGAACCCCAACACUUUGCGAGAUUUUAGGAAGUACAACCCCAACACCUUCAACGGGUCCUACCAAUAUAGAGUUAUGGAUGUCAACUAUGGAAACGAUUUUUCAUUAUAUGAAAUGCCCAAAAGAUCAGAAAGUGUAGUGUGUUGUCUUCAUACUCACGGAUAAAACACAAAUUUGGUGGUAGUCGGCAGAAAGAAUGUUAGAUGUGUGAACCCUUGACAUAGGAGCAAUUCAAGGAGCAUUUCUAUGCAAAGUACUUCUCAACCAACUUGAGGUACAUUAAGUAGAAGUUCUUGGAGUUUGACAUCCUGUUCUGUUUUGCUCCAGAAUUAGUUGCUACGGAGGCUAAGAGAGCGGAGAGGUUUGUUCAGGGUCUGAAGGACAGUAUAAGAGGUAUUGUGCGAGCCUUCAAAUUGACCACUCACAUUGAAGCACUUGCUUGGCGGCUGAUAUGGACUCACAGUCGGGGGACGAGCACUCACGAGCAUUUGGCAUGGGAUUUUCCUCGAAUCAGAAGAGGAAGGCAGAACAAAAGGAUUUUGAGCUUCAUCCCCAUUAAAAAGGUCAAAGCUCAUUCAGAUCACUUUGACAGUUUAAUCAACAGGCCAUCGAGUCGAGUAAAGUCAAAAGAAGUCUGCCAGUGUGUAACUUUUGUGGAAGACGUCACUGGGGAUGAUGUUUGGCUAGCUCUAGGGUCUGUUUUCAUUGAAAAUAGGGAGGGUACUCAAUUGAUAAAUGCCCUAAUAGGAACACAUCAAGUUAUGAGAACCAAGUCUAGAGGUCAUGAAUAGAGGAAUUUGAGUAGACCUCAGCAACAAGGUCAUGUUUACUCAACCAUCUGGCAAGAGUCUGAGAAGUCAAGCACUCUUGUGACAUGUACACUCUCAAUCUUGGGACACUAUGCGUUGGUAUUGUUUGAUUCUGGAUCAUCCUAUUUAUUCAUAUCAUCAAUAUUUGUUAAACAUGCCAUGUUAGAAUUAAAGCCUUUGCGCUAUGUGUUAUCGGUACCAUUCCGUCUGGAGAAAUUAUGUUAGCAAAAGAAAAGAUAAAAGCAUGUCAGAUUGAAGUCACGAGUCGUGCACUAAAUGUGACUUUAGUACUCUUGGACAUGCGUGAUUUUGAUGUAAUUUUGGGCAUAGAAUGGCUAACUGCUAAUCAUGCCAGCUUUAAGUUUAAAGGGGCUAGGAUCGUGGUUUUACCUAAAGUAAUUUUAGCUAUGAAAGCAAAAGGUUGCUUAACCAACGUACCUUAAGUAUCUUAGCCAGUGUUGUUGACACUAGAGAGCCUGAGGUCUCCUUGACUUCAGAGCCAGUAAUAAAAGACUACCCAUAUGUUUUCUAGAGGAACUCCCAAGGUUGCCACCACAACAGAAGAUAGAUUUUGCUAUCGAGUUGAAGCCAGGCAUAACUCCUAUCUCAAAAGCUCCAGCAGAAUUGAAGGAGCUUACGGUUCAGUUGCUGGAUAAGGGUUUCAUUCGUCCGAGAGUGUCACUGUGGGGUGCACCAGUACUUUUUGUGAAAAAUAAAAAUAGAUCUUUAUGUUUUUGCAUUGACUGUAGGGAGUUGAAUAAGGUGACUAUCAAGAAUAAGUAUCCACUCCCUAGGAUUGACAACUUGUUUAACCAGUUGCAGAGAGUUACAAUGUUUUCUAAGAUUGACUUUUGGUCAGGUUAUUAUCAGUUGGAUUAAGGAUAGUGAUAUUCCUAAGACAGUUUUUCGUUCGAGGUAUGGGCAUUAUGAGUUCAUCAUGAUGUCGUUUGGUUUGACGAAUGCUCUUGCAGUAUUUAUGGAUGUGAUGAAUAGGGUGUUCAAGGAAUUCCUUGACACCUUUGUGAUAGUUUUCAUUGAUGAUAUUUUGGUUUAUUCCAAGACAGAGACAGAGCAUGAGGAGCAUUUACGAAAGGUUUUCGAGACUUUGUGGGCACAUAAGUUAUCACUAAGUUUUCCAAAUGUCAAUUUUGGUUGAGGCAGGUGGCCUUUCUAGGGAAUGUGGUGUCAAAAGAAGGUGUAUCUGUUGAUCCCGCAAAAAUUGAGGCAGUUACGAGUUGGCCCAACAAACAAGAGCUAAUUACAAUAAAUAUAACAUAAUUAAAGAGAAAACAAUGCCAAUAAUCAGAAAAACCCAUAUCAGUUCAUCAUUUUCAUACAACUUAUAAAAAAACACCCACUAAACCAAAAUUAAAUCGAAUUAAAUGCUUAAAUGAUGCUUUGAUACCAAUUGUUAGAUUAAGAAAGCAAGCAGUGGAAGAAAACAAGAUUAUUAAGCAUUUUAAUUUAUUAAUUUUGGCUUAAAAUUCAACAUACUCAUAAACUAAAAACAGAGUUUAAACACUAACCUUUGAAGAUACCUUUGAAUCAUGAUUUCUAGCCACAAUCUCCUUUUCCUUUGAUUGUGAACCACCACAAGGUCUUCCCUACUAUUCUCUUGGAGUCUUAGAUUGAAUUGUGAGAUUCAAAACAAGCUUG